rnacentral:lncRNA from 1 species
ACGUCUUUCGGGGAUUUGAAUUGUUGAUCUUAAGAUUAAUGGAAAAUAUUUACAAGUAAAUAAACAUGAUAAAACAAAGAGCUAGGGAAAGGCAUUUGGCCCAAAUCUGGUUUUCUUGUCCGCCUGGGCCAGCAUUUGGGCCUUCGGCCCAUUUGAGUCACCUGCACCUGUCCUAUACUAAAGUAAAUAAAUAUUUUUUCUUUUUUUCUUUGGGCCUUAGGCCCAAUUUUUCACCUGUCCUAAAUUCUAACAAAAUAAUAAAACAUAAUGACUAAAUAGGCUUAGGCCCAAUAAUAACAAAAUACAAUUUUUGCAUAAAGAGUGGGCCUUUGGCCCAAUCUUUUCAAUUCUCCUCUGCUUUCAUAUUUUUUCAACUCUGGGACCUGUACGUCGAUUUUCAAUGGCCGGUUGAUUCGAUAAAGGAGUUUGAGCCUUCAUGGCUCUCCCGAAAUGCAAAAGGGGAGGCGAUAGGAGUUCAUAAUGAACUUGGACAGAUUUCACAUGCGACAAAAUGAUGAUAAAAAUUAGUUCCGUAGAAUAAUAAAGCAACAACAUGUCUAAAACAGAUCACACCAGUCCCCUAAGCCAAUAUAAAGCGAAUAAUUCAAUUGAACCCAAACAACAUGGAUCCAGAUAACGGGACAUAUAUUCGAAAGACACUAAAUGCUCUAGUCAUAUUAAUGAUAGAAUAAUGACUAUUCAAGCUGCUACUUUGGCACUAAAAAUAAUCCACAACAACACAUAUUAACCAACUUAUUUAGUGCACAGAUAUGCUAAUAGAAGAUGCUAACACCUAAAGCCAGUUAUUUAGGUUCGAUCACUUUACGAGGGGCAUCAUAGCUUAACGGAAAAAAAAGGGUAAUUAGGAGAGUACAUCAACUAUUUCACACAACAAAUUAACAUAAUGACCGUCAACAAAUAUAUGAACAAUAAAUAUAUAUUAUUAUUAUUAUUAUUACAUAUAUGUAUAAAUCCCGCAUACUUCCAGAUAACAAAAAAUUGGCAAUCUUUUAGAAUCCAUAUAAACCAAAAUCUAACCCACUAUGAUUAAACAAUUUGCCAACUAUGUUUUAACAUAUUUUUUGUUAAGCUACUAAACUAAACAAUUAUAAACAAACAUACAAAUCAUGCACCAGACAAAUAUUGACUCAUUGAUAAAGAAGACAAGCUGGAACUACUGUGAAUUCAAAGAAUGAUGUAGGCUAUCAUACUUAAAUGCGACACUAAGGAAAUCUAUCAAUAGUCGUGCUUAUAAAAAAAUUGGUUUCAUCUUAUAAACCCAAAACCAAAUUAGCAGUGAGAAGAAGAUGAAACACGUUGCCUCUUUCAAGACAUACCAAGUCACAAUAGAUUACUUCGGACAGAAGCAAAACGAACCUUACAAAAUUAAGAACGACAGACCAUUUAAUCAUUUAAAUGCUUUAAAGAUAUUCCGAGAACAACACUAGCUAUAAUCGAAUGAACCUUCCUAAGAUGCAGGGGACUAAGAAUAGCGAUGUAUUUUUAUUUAAACAAGUCUUUAAAAAUGGAACAAGACGAGCAAUAUUUUGAUUAAAAAAGGAAAGAAAUUAGACACAAUUGUCAAGCAAACCAAGUAUCAGUGACCAAGAUUCACAAUAACAGAGAGAAAACAACAGCAGACUAUCAAAAACCAUAACCUCUCUUAUUUAUCACAUUUCUAUACGGAUAACCAACAUUAACAGAAAACAGUUACAAAGAACAAAUGAGCUAUCAGCCUUAAAGAGUAACUAAGUUGAUCGAAACUAAGCAACACAGUGAGUAAACGAUUAAGAAAACCAAUACCAAAAGAAACAAGAGCCUAAUCGAAGAAACAAACCAAUGGAAUAUAGAUGAAAGUAGAGAUUACCUCUUGUUGUGCAGCGAAACAGGGGAGACGAGCAGAAAGGUAGCUUCCCACGACCACAACGAGAUUCCGACUCGAGCAACGAUC